UACAGAGGUCUCAAGCGUUGUUCGGAUUCAUUGGGCGUAAAGGGCGCGUAGGCUGCGGGGCAAGUCGGGGGUGAAAUCUCAGAGCUCAACUCUGAAACUGCACUCGAUACUGCUUUGCUUGAGGACUGGAGAGGAGAUUGGAAUUCACGGUGUAGCAGUGAAAUGCGUAGAUAUCGUGAGGAAGACCAGUGGCGAAGGCGGAUCUCUGGACAGUUCCUGACGCUGAGGCGCGAAGGCCAGGGGAGCAAACGGG
rnacentral:rRNA from 1 species